CUUAGGCCUAGGAGGGGGU
rnacentral:snRNA from 1 species